rnacentral:sRNA from 1 species
CCACAACAAAGUUCAGAGAUCCAGCUAAUAUUCAAAGUAGGGUCAACCUGAACUAGGACCUUCAAGGCAUCAUCACAGUGAACUGCUCAGAUCUCCACCCCAGAUGGAAGGCCCAGACCAUGGCAAGGCACUCUUCUCGACCCCUGCAGGCAUUCUUAAAAGGAUUCUACAGACACUUUUUGAGCACCUCACUGGAACAGACUCUGGGCUCAGGCUGAGAACAGAGACAGCCAGCCCCAGCCCCCACCUCAAGCUGGAGACAGGGUAUGAAUGGAGCUGUGCCUGAGCUGAAGCUUCUCUGCGGGGCAGACGUCUUGAAGACCUUCCAGACCCCCAACCUCUGGAAGGAUGCACACAUCCAGGAAAUAGUGGAGAAGUUUGGCUUGGUGUGCGUGGGCCGAGUAGGUCACGACCCAAAAGGUUACAUCGCAGAAUCUCCCAUCCUACGGAUGCACCAGCACAACAUUCACCUGGCCAAGGAGCCUGUGCAGAAUGAGAUCAGUGCCACAUACGUCAGG